rnacentral:rRNA from 1 species
UACGUAGGGCGCAAGCGUUAUCCGGAAUUAUUGGGCGUAAAGAGCUCGUAGGCGGUUUGUCGCGUCUGCUGUGAAAACCCGAGGCUCAACCUCGGGCCUGCAGUGGGUACGGGCAGACUAGAGUGCGGUAGGGGAGAUUGGAAUUCCUGGUGUAGCGGUGGAAUGCGCAGAUAUCAGGAGGAACACCAGUGGCGAAGGCAGGAUCUCUGGGCCCGUUAA